UCCAAGGAGGAUUAAUGAGUAAGUUAAAGAAGACAACAAUAAAUCUGGCAGACAAAUUCAAAGUCAUCUGAAAAUCCGGCAUGGAAAAAUCAUCCCUGCUGGAGACCUUUCUAUCCACAGGUGCUCAUGAAAGUGUCCAGACCUUUCCAUGUUGAAGAGGAGUCCAGAACACCUCAGCCAGAGGGAAGACACUGUUUUCCAUGGCAACAUCUAUGUUUUGAGAGCUUCUGGGACUAGCAUAGGGUGCAGGAUGUGCAACCUCCCAUCACGGUGGGGUCUGAUGCAGACCAGAGCUCAACAGCAUGUGGAACAAGGACUGGCACCGCUUCCCAGGAAAGUGCUGGAGCCUGGUACUGCUCAGCAAGACCAUCUGCGCUGGGAGUAUGACCUAAUUUGAAGCUGACAGAGACUGAGCAACAAUUCCGUUCACUAACAUGGAGUUUGAAGCAGAGGCCUCCACGCUCUCUACUUCCCUGUUCUCUACUG